AGACGCCCAGCACUGUAGGAGGCAUGCUUCUCUCUCAGCCCAGUUUAUGAAGGCUUGCUGUUCUUGACUCAUUGCAGGCCACUGGUGUGUUUGUGCUUCUGUCAUCCUGACCAGUAGCUCUGUCACCACCAUGGAACCACCCUAGCAGUAGUGGCCACUGUCACUUGCAUGUUGGGCAUACCCGUUACUGAAGGAGGAAAAAUACACAUGUAUCCAGUUUGCUAUGAAGAUUAAAUGAGAAUAUAGCAAGGUUUAACAAACACUAAACAUUUAACUAAUAACAAGUAUUAUCAGUGACCAACUGGAAGGAGGAUAAACACAUCAUCAUAAAACAAAACCAGUGAGAAGCCAUACAGAAUGGAAUGAGGCAACAGUUCCCAAGCCACAGAUUCAUUUAU
rnacentral:lncRNA from 1 species